GUGGACCGAUCCAGACCAGACUGAGCGAGUCAAGGUCUCUUCCCAGCUGGAAUGUGGAGACGCGCGCCGUGCCUUUCACGUGGGCGUUGUUUUGUGCUCCCCGGAGCCGGGUCCUGGAGCCAAGGCCCCAAAGGAGCCUGAAUCCAGUAAUGAGCAAAGGCGGGGACGUCUGAAUCCUGUCUGGACGC